rnacentral:rRNA from 1 species
UACGGGGGGGGCAAGCGUUGUUCGGAAUUACUGGGCGUAAAGGGCUCGUAGGCGGCCAACUAAGUCGGAUGUGAAAUCCCCAGGCUUAACCUGGGAACUGCAUCCGAUACUGGUUGGCUUGAAUCCGGGAGAGGGAUGCGGAAUUCCUGGUGUAGCGGCGAAAUGCGCAGAUAUCAGGAGGAACACCGGUGGCGAAGGCGGGUCUCUGGGCCGUAACUGACGCUGAGGAGCGAAAGCAUGGGGAGCGAACAGG